rnacentral:misc_RNA from 1 species
UCAGUAUCACCGGGAAAAUAAUCGGUAACAAAUAUGGAGAAAAAUAAUUUCAAAGUUAUGCUUUAUAUUAAAAAAGAUACCGAAAAUGAGCAAGUGUUUUUCAAAACAGAUGGCCAGAGGUUUUCUACUGAUAAAACAAUCAAAUUAACAGUGGAUACCAGUUAUGGAUUUUCAGUGAUCACCCGCCCACCCCAGAUAAUUCAGAACAUAAGUGUCAUGGGAACUAAUGUAAACACUACAGAAAUGACUGGUGAUAGUAGUAGCUUAACUUAUACCUUCUCCUGGCCAAGUACAGGGACGCAGUUAACAACGAAAGGAAAACGAGACAUCUUGCCUGUUGUACUUGAGGUUAAAGAUAAUGGAUCACUGACUAUGAAUCUGCAAAUCAAAUUCUACAAGCUAGAAGAUAAACAACAUUACACUUGGGGUACACCACUCAAUCACAUUGAAUUUGAGUGUGAGAGUAAAUCUGGGACAAGUUUUGUAGACAUUGUUAAACAGACUUACCGAUAAGCAUUAUAGUAUGAUCAGCCAGUAUUCCACAGGUUUGAAAAGAUAUAAACUUUAAUUCAAUGGAGUAGUUUCAUUCUGAUAGGAAAGAGUAUCUGAGUUUUCUGUCCAGUGGUAUAUCAUGGAAUAAUGUAUCUGGUAUUUUGUAGGAAACAUACACAGUCGAAGGAAACUUUCAAUCAAUUUUAUUUUGAAAUGUUGCAUACAAUUUAGACUGAUUUUUAAGAGGUUGAUUAUGUUCUCUUUAGUUUCCAAGCGUGUAACUGUAUUUUAUGUUUUACAGUGGGUUGGAUACUUCAUUCAGUUAAUACUGUAUAUUGACAAAUGAUAUCUAACUGGUGUUAUAUAAAUAUAUCUUUAUGCAAGUAGCAUAGUAUUCUCACAUGUAUUUAAUUGUUAGCUAUAUUCAUGAUAUUAUGACUUGAACCUAGUUUUUAGCUGUGAGCUCAGCAACUUCUAAUUUUCUAUUUGCUACUUGUUGGAUAUUUUAUUAGAUAUUGGAUCAAGUUUCACAGUUAGUGUGGCUAUCAUUAGUGUGUUAGGUGUUUUAUUGUUUAUUUGAAACAUAUAUAUAUAUAUAUAUAUCUACAGAAUAUAUAUGUGAUGUGAUUAUUGUGCAUGUUUAUAAACUAUGGCAUUUAGUUAAUAGUUAACAACAUUAAAUGGUAUAACCAUAAUUUUAUUACGAAUUCCUCUUCCAAGACUGUAUCUAAAGUCAUAUGGAAUUGUCUCUUGAAAGUAAAGAAACCCUUUAUGCACCUGUAGAAUAUAAAAGAGUUUAUUUGAACUCAUCUGUAACUCACUUACUACUAAACUCUGCAGGAUUGCAAAAUUGUUUAGCAGUUAGAUAAUUAAGUCUUAUUAAAUAAUUUAGAUUGAACCUACAGUUUAAUAUUUUACUAACAUUAAUGCCAAGUUUAUUUUUAGUUCAUAUAAAAACUUAUGGUGAUAAGUGAGUACAAUUAUGCAAUGUCAGUCAGCAUUUUGUUUUGGAAGAACUGUUAUUUAAACCUUGUGAUGUUUGCAGUGAUAGAGAAACUUUAUUUGACUUUUAUUGUUUUUCCAAUAACAGUUUGAGAUAUGAGAAUAUACAUCCGGCCAAAUAGAUACAUAGCUUUGUAUUUGUUAUACUGGAAUUGCCGAUACAAAGAGGAAGUGCUAUUCAUCUAGUCAUGUUUUUGAUGAAGUGCUCAUAUGAAGAUAUAACACGAUCAAUUCAGAGUAAUGUUUUUACACAGUUGCUGAUGUGAAGAUGAAACUAUUCACAUUUCACAUAAGUGCAUAUACAAUGACAAAACGUUACUCAGAACAUUUUCUCUGUAGCCAUGUUUCAUGAGCACAAUUUUAACAUUGACAUUAGAAGUGUAAUGAAUUUCAAAUCGUGUAUUUUUAAAAGUUUAAAAUGUAAAUUUUUAAAGCUAUAAAGGUUUGUAUUUAAAUGUAUGAUUUUUCAUUUGUAUAUUUUUGGUCAUUUUCAGUUGAAUAUAUGAUACCAUAUUAUGAUUUUAAUUUAAAGUUGACAAAUGUGCUUUUUUAUAUGUUGGAGCCAUUUUUAUGGUCUCUUCAAUGUAACUUCAUUCAAAAGUUUUAUACUUUUCAGGUUUUUCAGACUAUCCAAUAACAUGGUUAUGUGCUUUAAUCAGUUAUAUGCAAGUUUAACAGUAUUAUACAUGAAAGCAAUAUCAAACAUUAUAUAUUUCUUCUUCAAAAGUUUAUGUAUUCACUACAAUAUUUUACUGAUAUAAAGUAAUGCUUUAGAACUUGUGCAAAAAGAUAAGGCAUGUUAGUAAAAACUGUAGUUAUUUAUUUACAUUUGCUAUAGAAUGAAAUGUGUAUGAACAACAGAAAUUUGAGUGAGACUAUUAUAUAUAUAUAUUUUGAAUACUGAUUCAUUACUAAAAUAGCUAUUUUUUUCGAGUACAAUUUUGUUUUUCAUAUUUAUUAAAGAUGACACAUUGAAAGAUGAAAGCAAAAUUAAAUAAUAAUCUUUAUCAUCUUCGUGUUUUGUGUAAUCGUUUUCAAUUUUGGGGAACUUUUGUCAAUCUGCAUAUUACCAUACUGAUGUAAAACAUGAAUUAAAAUGAGUAAGUAAUCUUAAAGAAAGCCAAAUGGAAUAUACUAAUUAUCAUAUAGCCUGGAUAGUAGAAUCAAAAGAAAGAGAUGUGUUUUAUUCAGUGUCUUAUAUUGCUAUGAUUUUAAAUUUCCUGCCCUAGAAUUAUAUUGUAACAAAAUGAAAUAUACAUGACAUCACCUGUUUUGAUUGUGUUUUGAAUCUUGCCAACACAUUAGUGACUGAUCAGUUCCUUAUCAGGGUUAAUGACAGUGUUGAUUUGAUUCAUCCACACAACAUUGUCAGGGAGGAAUGUAUUUCACAAAAACACCUUAAUGACGCUACAAAAUAUUCCUUUUAAGUUUUAUGUGGCAUAUUUAUGUAAUAGGAUUUAUUCCUUUAACUAUUUACAUAUUUCAUUGAUGUGUGGAAUUUCUAAAAUUAGAAUUUAUGUGAUCAGAUAAGUAAAAUUUCAAGCUAUUAAAAGAGUCAAAUUGAGUUUAUUAAUAUAUGAAAUAAAAAAAAAAUGUUAUAAACUAUACCAAAUAUAAUUUCAGAUAAUACAAAAGUUUGAUAAAAAAAAGGAAAAUUACAAAUAUUAAUAUAGUGUUGAUGAGCACAUUUUUGUGAAUAGAAUGUCUUUUGUAACAGAAUUUUAAAUGAAUUGUGCUACUGUUGUUAUUAUCUUGUUGGUAGCAAAGUGUAUUUUCAAUAAAAGGUUAGCGAGAUAUAAAGUGGUAUCCAUAGUUGCUGUCAGGCAUGAAAUCUAUUUACAUG